AGCAGUCUUGAAAAAAUUAUCCCCAUAAACAGCGAAUAUAUGAGUGCCGGCUUUUAGUUCUGAAACCUCACAAGGUUGAAGACCUUCCAAUCUUUUAAAAAAAGCAGCAUCAGGAUCCUUGGCUAUUGCUAAAGCAUUCACAGUUGAAUCCAUUCUAUACACUUGAAAAUGUAAGAAAUACAUCCCUGCAGAUGUCACCUUGCCAGUCUUCUCACUAUCUUCCUGUAAUGCCAAACCAUAGCCACCAUUGGCAUCUUGUUCAAAAUAAAGUAACUUAAAUUUGCUUUGUGCGGUUGAAGUUACUCUCACAACAAUCCCUGACUCUGCUUGUUGUUCAUUUAUUGUUACACCAAAGAA
rnacentral:misc_RNA from 1 species